GCUUACUGUUAGAAUAUUAAUAUUUAAUAUUAUUAUCACUAGUAUUACUCUCUUCAGAUCACAUCAUUCUGUUUUUUGCACACAUCCAGGGUGAAGGUCAUAAUCACACACUUGACAAGAGAAUGCCCAGAACCUCCCUUGCCUUUUACAACAGUCGCACACAUAGGCUUUUGCCAUGUCCAAUUUCAGUUCAUGAUGAUGCUUUAUGUCCUUCACUUGCUGAGGCAAUGCAUCUCCUUCCUUUUUCAACCCUGCUUCUAUCUCUGCAAUCCUCCUUUCUGUGAACGGGAAGGCCUUGGCACCGUACAAAGAAAUCAUCCCCUUCCCAUCCAUGCUGAUAGUCUUCCCAUCCUCCCCAAUUAUCACCAAAGCAGGAAUCCCUUUAAUGUUGAAGAUCCUACACAGGUCUUGCCGCGUCCUAUCCUCGUAUGGAAUGGCAAGCCAUGGCAUGUUACCUAGGUUGGUAUUAAAUUCUAUAAGGUCUCGAUCUGUGGACACCAAUAUAAUUUCGAAGCAUCCAUCCCCUGUGGUUUCCAGCUCAUUGUAGGUUUCUAUUAGCUGGGCAGUAAAGGCACGGCUAGGAGGGCACCAGUAUGCUCCAAAAUACAGGCCUACUGUCUUCCCAACAAGUUCAGAUACUGGUAUCUUUCUACCAUCUCUAGAUAAAACAUAAUUUCGUCCUUCAUGUGCCAAAAGCUGUUCUAAAUUUCCUCCUUGGCGCUUUGCAUCAUCGAUAGCCCUCAGUUCCUCUCUUCUCUUCCAGGUAAAGGGAAAUGCUUGGGAGCCAUAAUCCUCUAUCAACCCAAUCAGAUCUUCUUCAAUCGAUAUUUCAUCUGAAGCCAAUGAAACAAAUGAUGGAAUGCGAUUGAUGCCAUAGAUUUCACUCAAUUUUCUGUUCAAUUCCACGUCAAAUGGAACUGCAAGCCACGGUAUGCACUUGAAGUGUUCCUUGAAUCCAUCCUCAUCACGGUCAAAGGAGACCAUGAUAAUCUCUAGCUUUUUAUCCUCAACUCUCAGGCUAUUAUAAAGUUGCACAAGCUGAGGAACAAAGGUUUUGCAUGGCCUGCACCAGUUUGCGGAGAAGAACAGGCAAAUUAUCUUCCCAUCACAUGAUGAUAAGGGUACCUUUCCUUCACCCGAAAGAAGAAAAUCGACCCCUUGAGAUGCUAAGAUCGUCACAAAGUCUCUUCUGUCGAUAAGCUUGUCUUGAUUAUCAGGCCCUGCCAUUAGAAGUUUAUAACCACGAGUAAAAGCUGGUGUCCACCUUCCCUCUUUUAUAUGCUUUCCUUGAGACUGAGGUAACAAUUUGCUUAGCAGCUUGGACAGGAGAAAACAAUUUGCUGGAUACGAUCUAGUGCCCUCACACCCAACUUGUUGAAUCGAUUACCUUUGGUUUAUCACGGUGUUCAAAGAAUGAAAAGGCAACAAAUUUAUCAAUCACCUGAGAUUCUGCAUGAACUAGCUUAACAUUUACUGACUAUGGAUGGAUUAGCUUGUGGACUCUGGAAGAGAAAGAUGGGGAUAUUACAUAUUCCAAGAGAAGGGGAUGAGGGGAAUUUGGGAGCACAUAGAGAGGUUAUCCUGGGAAGGGAAUAGAUGCAUAAAAAUUGUAGACAGGCAAGCAGGCGCAACUUUUCUCGAUAGGAUAGAGAUACAAGUCUCUAUCUAUCGCAUAAUGAUGCGUGGAAGUUGAUUAUAUCUAAGGUAGCCAGCAAUACUCACCAGGAAUAUUCCAUUUCCGAAAUUAUGCUGCAAUAUAUCAUAAUUAUUAACACAGGCUGACAAUAGGAUUUUGCAUUUUCUACUGGGAUGGCGUCAAACCCCGCACUUGCAUCAAUUUGACGCUGUACAUCAGCGUCAUUACGAGGGUUCUUCUUGAGGUUCAAGUCAGGCACUAAACGUGCUGGACCAUCACUGAAAAUGACCCAGAGAAACUAAGCAGCCACUUCCUAUUCUUCAAAGAGAAAAUUAUUUCUUGGAAAGAGUAAGAGACUCUAAAUCAAUUACAUAAAAAAGAAAACAUAUAUAAUAGUUUAAUAACAGAGAUGAUCAAUUGGACGAAAUAAGAAUAUUAAGAAAAGGAAGAUAAAAUUGAGAAACACACAACAACCACUGAUCGGACAAUGAACUCAUCCAUUCAUGGACUAAUUUGUGGCCAAAAAUGACCUCUGAGUCAAUGUUCUCUUUCGAAGAGUAGAGCAAGCUUCAGUGAUCAACGGUUGAUAGAGAAAGAGAAAUCGUCCUCAGUCAUUGCUCUGGAAGAGU
rnacentral:misc_RNA from 1 species